rnacentral:lncRNA from 1 species
CCCAAGUGAAAAAAUGUUAAUAAACAAUUACCAAGUUCACAAAAAAACUAUUUUCAGUGGAAACCAAAAUCUCCAUCCUCUAGUAAUAUUUCUCGGUAGAGAACAUGAAUUUAGAAUUGACUUCAAGAUUUCAUCCUAAUAUGCAACACCACCAAUCAAACACAUUUGAUGCUACAAAGGUCUCUACAACCACAUCAAGCAUAAUGUUGUGAGUCUUGUGACCAUCUCCUGCAAAGACACAGAAGUUCUAUUCUCCUCGCUACAUUUACUGAAACUUGGUACUUAUAUACACAAUUUCCAUAUAGGAAGAUCAGUUUACAUGAGAAAAUCAAUAUCAUCUGGAAAGAGUAUUAAGAAAAUGGCUACAAAGGUAUUAGGAGAAUCAAAGGAAAACUUGAUGGUGGAGUGAGAGUUCAGUUAGUGAUUAGGAUAAAAGAGGAUAACAUAAAAGACUACUUAAAUAUAGAAAUUGAGAAACGUAUGAAAGUUAUAAGACAGCUUAAACGAAGUUAAGAAAACAGUGUGAGAGGCUAGAAUUAAAGCAUAUGAAGAGUCAUAUCGCAAGCUAUAAAUUAAGGAUGGAAAAAAUUAUAUAUCUAUAAGAUUGAAAGACUAAGAGAAAGGAAAAUUAGAGACUUGACUCGCACUAAAUACAUCGAAGAUGAAAAUCAAAAAAUUUUGAUUAAGGAGGACGAGAUCAGAAAGAGAUGGAGGAGUUAUUUUGAUAAGCUAUUAAAUAAAGAUCUUGUGAAGGACUAGUUCAAUUGAUGAUAUAAAUGUUAAGUAUACAUGUAAACUUAAGAGUAUCAAUGAUAAACA